rnacentral:lncRNA from 1 species
CAAUUCAAAACGUUCAUUUUAGAAGUAAAUUUGCUACAUAUGGUACUUAGAAUUGAUUGGUUUAUUUGUGUUUAUUUUCUUUUUCCAACAUCAUAAAGACUUUUUACCUAUGUAUGGUCAACCCUCUGAGUGGACCGUCUGUGAAUGUUUAAGACAAUGCUGGUAAUGUCUCGAAUUAACUUUUACUUUGGUUUAAUAAAAGUGUAAAGUUUUGUAGUAAGUUAGAAGUCUGAUAUUUGUUAAGUGUUUUAGUCUUGUUAUAAGUCUGAUACAUUGUUUAAGUGUUUUAGUCUUGUUAUAAGUCCGAUACAUUGUUUAAGUGUUGUAGUCUUGUAUUGUUCUUAAUGCUC